CUGCAUGGCUGUCGUCAGCUCGUGUCGUGAGAUGUUCGGUUAAGUCCGCUAACGAGCGCAACCCUCGCUGUGUGUUACAAGUGUCACACGGAACUGCCGGUCAUAAACCGGAGGAAGGUGGGGAUGACGUCAAGUCAGCAUGGCCUUUAUAUCCUGGGCUACACACACGCUACAAUGGGAAGGGACAAUAGGUUGCGAAGCCGCGAGGCGGAGCCAAUCCAGCAAAACUUCCCUCAGUUCAGAUUGCAGGCUGCAACUCGCCUGCAUGAAGUUGGAGUUGCUAGUAAACGCAGGUCAGCCAUACUGCGUUGAAUACGUUCCCGGGGCUU
rnacentral:rRNA from 1 species